UUGAUAUCCUCUCCAGCUUUCCAAGAUUCCUGGAUACAAAAGGAUUGGUGGACCAAGACUUCACUCUCCUAUUUGAUGACGACACAUCCUCCAGGCUUCUUCAGAAAUGGGAUUUGUUCUUCAAGCCAAAUGUCAUAAAAGAGGCUAAGCGGCUCACCUCAACACCAGAGUUGCGUCGCUUGGUGCAGUCAGCAGAAAGUCCCCCAGGAAGUGAUCUUGAUGAGGCAACAACCUACGACCAAGAAAUGGCUUCCCUGUUGUUGCUGUUACAUCUCCUUCCACCACCUCCAGGGGGACUGAAGUCUCCAAAAAUUAGUGCAUGUGAUGCAGUUGAGAGACUUGUUGUCUUUCAUAAGUCAUGCUGCAGUUUGGAGGAGCAUCUCCGCAACCAGCAGGGUCGGCAGCCGUACCUCCUCGCUGUUGGGCGUCAGAAGAGCAAGAUUGAGAGCUUCUACAUCACAAUGGAUAAGCGUCUCAUCCCAUGCAAGCAAACCGAACUUUUCAAAGCACAUUUUGUGUUUAAUAUGUGGCACUUGUGAAUUUGUACACAUUCCUUCAGACAACAGUGUAUAACAUUGAUGUGGGGAAAAUGAAGGAGUCACCCAGAGUUAAAGACUUGAGAGCGAGACUGCUUAACCAGCCAGUAGCACUCUCACCCUGUGAGUAAGAAGCUAUAACAAUGUUGACCUGUUUCAUGUGUCAGAAAUAUUAUCCCAGCAGUCAACAGUUGAUUUCACAUUUAAGAGUUGAACAUGGUUACUAUCCUGGACCCAAGUUCAAAUUGUUUUGUUCUCAGCAAGGCUGUAGGCAUCAGUUCCUAACAUAUACAGGUUUUCGGAAGCACCUUAAUAGUGUUCAUAGUAAUGUUCAGCAAAUUGCUCAAACUUCAACUGUUGCAUGUUCAUCUAGUGAGCCAGUUGCAACUUCAUCUCAGGCACAUGCUUUGGAGGACACAUUUAAUCCACAAAAUCAAUGUAGCUCUUCCAGUGUUUAUUCUGAGAGCAAUGAUUCAGGACUUACU